rnacentral:lncRNA from 1 species
AAUUUUAUGUGUAUAUUAAAUAUGCAUUAUAUUGGUAUAAUAGGUAGUAAUUUGUUUUGAAUUUUACAAUAUAACUUCAGCAAUAUUUAUACGAGAUAAAUAUUUCAAUUUUAAUGACAUUUUGAAUUUAAACAAUAACGUAUUAUGAUUUAUUUCCAUUGUUAAUUAUUCAAAUAAUGAAUCGUUACAUGUAAGAUAGUUUAUUUUAGUUCAAUAAGUUGACAUCUAGGGUGUAGAGUGUCCAAUCUUUCCAAUCCAUUUCUUUAUUAUCUAUGCAUACAACGAAUACUAUCAAAUACUAUAAUACUACUACUUCUACUCGUGUCUCGUUUAUGGUUUGUAAUAUUUGCUACUGCUGGCCAAUUCGCACAGUGUCAUACCCCUGGAGACAUCUAUUAAUCAUGGAAACAAUUUCAGCUUUGACCAUAAUGGAAUAAUACAAUAUACUACGUAUACUAGUUAUACUUGGUAUAUUAUCUAAAUUCAUGAUACUAACUACUGUAACUGAUAAUAUCCAUUUACUCAUGGUGUAUAAUGAAUAAUGAACAUAGGUAGAUAAAUAAAAAGUAUAUUAAUUAAUAGUACUGUCAGAAAUAGGCGAACGAACACAAUAAUAUUUGGCAAUUGCCAAAUUACAGAUAUACGACAAUGAUAAGGAGGUAGGUCAGCCUAUUAGGGCUGUAUAGGGUUGUCAUAAUAUUCGAUAGUUAUAUUUUAAGUUUGACAGUUUGACGUUAAUAUAAAAAACCACUUCAUAAGACACCAAUCACGUAUCUAGUGACAGAAUAUGGAGAUAGAUAUAACACACACACACACACACAUAUAUAUAUAUACUUAAACUAGAAACCAGGAUGUAAUAUCUAAUAAAUGGUUUGCGUUUCGUGGAAACAUCGAUAUGACUUUUACACAACUGGGCUGCAGGAUACAGAUAACGACGUGAUGCAAUAAUAUGGAGAAGUCGAUGGACCAGGGGGUAGGUAGGAGAGCCUAGGCCUCAUAAAAGCAGACCUUAAACAACCUGUAUUAAAACAUGUUUACUCUUUCUACUAGCAAGCAUAUUCACGCCAGUCUAUGUAAUAAUUUGGUCAAUUUGGACUUAGAAAUAUUUUAUUGAAGAAUCAGUUCUAAUAAACACCUUAACUUUUCCACGGACUAUUAUUUUUAUCAAUAAACCCUGAGUUAUCCUAACAUCACGGUCUUGCUACUUCCUGCAACUGGCAAUCCAACCAAUCAGGCCGAGUAGCAGAUUACCACACUACUACAAACGUCGAACACUAUGAUGGCAUGGGUUAUCAGAAGUUCCUCAUCAUCCUCAACUACAAUGGAAUACAACCUAAUAGCUAUGGCUAUGACUUCGGUCGUACACUGUAUGUAUUUUCCAUAUUAAUUAAUGAGCAAUAAAAUAAUAAAUAACGAUUUUAAAUUCAAACAGUUGUUACACAAACUUACAGUACGUGAUACUAGCAAGUUAUAAGUCUAUGAAAAACUAUUGCUUUAUUUGUAGAAAAGAUGAAAGAUAUUAGAUCUGUCAUCAUCUCAAUGAAAACAAGUUAACUUAAUGUUGUUCUUCGUUGAAAACAAUUAACUUUUGACUAAACUAAAUGAUCAUGAGAAGGAAAUCUAGUUUUAUUAAGCAUUUACUUAUUUAAUUAUCCGUAUUGCCUUUGGAUAUAAUAUUAACGCAAGACUGGAGUUUGUUCUCAAAUUUUAUUGCAAUUGGUGCUUAUUUUGGAAAGCAUUGAGAUAUUAUUGCACAUCAUUUGCAUUUAUCUGUAUGCCGACUGCCGAGUCUCAUGAACAAUCACUAAUUGUUUAAUAAUACAAUACAUAUUAAAAACAUUCUCUUGCGAUGGUUGUCAAUAUACAAAUAGUUAACAGAUAUAUUAUGUCUGUUUCUUCAAAAAUAAAUUAAUUUACAUGUACCAACUGUAAUACAGGUAUACACAAUGUUUGAAUUGUUUGUAUACCGGGUCCCUUCAACAAUUACUAAAAGUUUAAUAAUAUAAUAGCAAGUUUAUGGACAAAUGAAUGCCCACCAAAUAUUUUAUUUUAAUUUGUUGUUGUUAUGAAUAGAGUUGAGUGAGGUCUUCUUGAAAAUAAGGCUAUCAAAUAUAUCAAUUGAUGUAGAUCAAGCAAAAGCUAAAAAGAUCGCAAGACAUUUCUUACUUAUCACCUCACACAAUUGUGUUAAAUAUAUUUAAAAUAAAGCACCAACUCCACAUAUGUUCAGAAAUGUUGUAUCAUAUUAAAUAAUCUAUGAAUUAAAAUUCAAAAUGUAAUAUAAUACGUCCGCAUCAACAAUGUUACUAUCACUUUAUGCGUAUAAAAGAACUAUGACCUGUGAACUGUAACCUAUCUAAUUUGUCAUGCUAAAAAUCUUUUAAAAAAACAUCUUAAAGGUGUACGAAUAUAUAUAAUGUUUGU